CAAAGGCUUGGUCCUGACUUUACUAUCAGCUGUAGCCCAAUUUAUACAUGCAAGUAUCAGCACCCCAGUGAGAAUGCCCUCAAUCCCCCGUCCGAGGAUGAGGAGCAGGUAUCAGGCACAUAGAUCUAGCCCAAGACGCCUUGCUACGCCACGCCCCCAAGGGAACUCAGCAGUAAUAAACAUUAAGCAAUAAGUGAAAACUUGACUUAAUUAGGGUUAAGAGGGCCGGUAAAACUCGUGCCAGCCACCGCGGUUAUACGAGAGGCCCUAGUUGACAGCCACGGCGCAAAGAGUGGUUAAGGAGUCCUACCAAAUAAAGUCAAAUGUUUCCUAGGCCGUUAUACGUUUUCUAGAAACAUGAAGCCCAAUUACACGAAAGCAACUUUAUGCUAAACGACCUGACCCCACGAAAGCUAAGAAACAAACUGGGAUUAGAUACCCCACUAUGCUUAGCCCUAAACUUAGAUGUCUAAACAUUCGCCCGAGUACUACGAGCACCAGCUUAAAACUCAAAGGACUUGGCGGUGCUCCAGACCCCCCUAGAGGAGCCUGUUCUAGAACCGAUAACCCCCGUUCAACCUCACCACCUCUUGUUCAUACCGCCUAUAUACCGCCGUCGUCAGCUUACCCUGCAAAGGCCAAACAGUAAGCAAAACGGGCACAGCCCAAAACGUCAGGCCGAGGUGUAGCGUACGAGAUGGGAAGAAAUGGGCUACAUUUUCUACAAUAGAAUAUUCUACAGACGGCGCCCUGAAAUCAUGCGCCCGAAGGUGGAUUUAGCAGUAAAAAGCAAAUAGAGAGUCCUUUUGAAUUAGGCUCUGGAGCGCGCACACACCGCCCGUCACCCUCCCCUCAUUAAUUAUACAAAGCUAUAUAACACAACCUCUUAUACUAAGGGGAGGCAAGUCGUAACAUGGUAAGUGUACCGGAAGGUGCACUUGGAAUAAC
rnacentral:ncRNA from 1 species